UAUCUGCGAUGAGAUGGGAAGUUGCUGUUACUAAUUCAGGUAAUUCCCAUGGAGUAUGUCACGAUCAAAGAAUCGGACGACAA
rfam:Eubacterium limosum KIST612, complete genome.